ensembl:snRNA U6 U6 spliceosomal RNA
UGGCUCCCAAAGCACAUAUACUAGCCCUUUAAUGAUAAUGAGAAAAUCAGUAUGCCUCCUGCACAAGAAUGACACACACAUUCAUGAAUCAUCCCUAUUUUAG